UCUUCGGCAAUGGACGAAAGUCUGACCGAGCAACGCCGCGUGAGUGAAGAAGGUUUUCGGAUCGUAAAACUCUGUUGUUAGAGAAGAAUGUUGAAUAGAGUGGAAAAUUAAUCAAGUGACGGUAUCUAACAAGAAAGGGACGGCUAACUACGUGCCAGCAGCCGCGGUAAUACGUAGGUCCCGAGCGUUGUCCGGAUUUAUUGGGCGUAAAGCGAGCGCAGUUGGUUUAAUAAGUCUGAUGUAAAAGGCAAUGGCUCAACCUUUGUGUGCAUUGGAAACUGUUAGACUUCAGUGCAGUAGAGGAGAGUGGAAUUCCAUGUGUAGCGGUGAAAUGCGUAGAUAUAUGGAGGAACACCGGUGGCGAAAGCGGCUCUCUGGACUGUCACUGGCACUGAGGCUCGAAAGCGUGGGUAGCAAACAGG
rnacentral:rRNA from 1 species